rnacentral:rRNA from 1 species
GAUCAACGCUGGCGGCGCACAUAAGACAUGCAAGUUGAACGGACUUAAUCGAAAUAUUUAUAUUUUGAAGCGGUUAGUGGCGGACUGGUGAGUAACGCGUAAGGAACCUGCCUCUUAGAGGGGAAUAACAGUGAGAAAUCAUUGCUAAUACCGCAUAUGCCAUAGAUAUCACAUGAUAACAGUGGGAAAGGAGCAAUCCGCUAAUAGAUGGCCUUGCGUCUGAUUAGAUAGUUGGUGGGGUAACGGCCUACCAAGUCGACGAUCAGUAGCCGGACUGAGAGGUUGAACGGCCACAUUGGGACUGAGAUACGGCCCAGACUCCUACGGGAGGCAGCAGUCGGGAAUAUUGCGCAAUGGAGGAAACUCUGACGCAGUGACGCCGCGUAUAGGAAGAAGGUUUUCGGAUUGUAAACUAUUGUCGUUAGGGAAGAGAAAGGACAGUACCUAAGGAGGAAGCUCCGGCUAACUACGUG